UGGGGAAUUUUGGACAAUGGGGGAAACCCUGAUCCAGCAAUGCCGCGUGUGUGACGAAGGCCUUCGGGUUGUAAAGCACUUUUGGCGGGAACGAAACGGCGCUUUCUAAUACAGAGCGCUAAUGACGGUACCCGCAGAAUAAGCACCGGCUAACUACGUGCCAGCAGCCGCGGUAAUACGUAGGGUGCAAGCGUUAAUCGGAAUUACUGGGCGUAAAGCGUGCGCAGGCGGUUUCGUAAGACAGAUGUGA
rnacentral:rRNA from 1 species